rnacentral:rRNA from 1 species
CUACGGGAGGCAGCAGUGGGGAAUAUUGGACAAUGAGCGAAAGCCUGAUCCAGCCAUGCCGCGUGUGUGAAGAAGGCCUUCGGGUUGUAAAGCACUUUCAGUGGGGAAGAAAGCCUUGGGGCUAAUACCCUCGAGGAAGGACAUCACCCACAGAAGAAGCACCGGCUAACUCCGUGCCAGCAGCCGCGGUAAUACGGAGGGUGCGAGCGUUAAUCGGAAUUACUGGGCGUAAAGCGCGCGUAGGCGGUCUGAUAAGCCGGUUGUGAAAGCCCCGGGCUCAACCUGGGAACGGCAUCCGGAACUGUCAGGCUAGAGUGCAGGAGAGGAAGGUAGAAUUCCCGGUGUAGCGGUGAAAUGCGUAGAGAUCGGGAGGAAUACCAGUGGCGAAGGCGGCCUUCUGGACUGACACUGACGCUGAGGUGCGAAAGCGUGGGUAGCAAACAGGAUUAGAUACCCCAGUAGUC